rnacentral:misc_RNA from 1 species
AACUCGAAAGUAAAGUAAAACUAAAAAGUACUUUUUUCAAUUUUUGUAAGCUGUAUCCUCAAACAUAAGUGGUCUAGCAGAACUAAAUUACCAUGUCUGACCAAGACAGAGGAGAUCGCGGGAGAAGAAGACCCAGAAGGAGAGGAGGUGGACCAAACACUGGCAACAGAAAGAUUGACAGGGAGACCUAUGAGGCAGAAUACCAAUCCUCCAAGCCAACAAUUAUAUUGGCCAAGCCUGCAGCACUAGACUCGGUUUGAUUCUUCUACUUCAAUGUUAAACUGUCCAAAAACACAUGACAAAAUGUCGCUUGUGUUAAUACUCAUUUUCUCUAGACACUACUGUGGAAUCAUUAGAAUUCGUGGUGGCUCAAUUUUCGUGGUAUUCGUGGGUAGCCCUCCCCCACGAAUUUAAAUCCUCAAUGAAAACAAUUUUAGAAAGAGUUAUCUUUGUUACUCAAACAGUAACCAAUGCAUCCACAAAAUUACAUCCCUACGAAUGAGCAAAUAAGUCACAAUCCACGAAAAUUGGCUGCCACAAAUGUAAAUGAUUCUACAGUAUUUUGAAUUGACUGUUAUAUCAUAUAAUUACAUUGUAUGUGUUUUAAAUAUUUAGGGAGGAGGUGUCCUCAGUACAAGCCCCUCUUCAACUUCCUCCGCAAAACCCGACAAACCUGUUGUCAUGGCAAUCAGAUCCAGGGAUGAAUCCUUCACUUCAGGCUCUCCCAGUGUUUCAACAGGGGAGCCAACUCCAUCACAAGUUUCUUCAUCCUCGCACAGAACUCCUGUCGGCCUCGUACAGACAGAUGGCUCCAACCGCCUAUCUGCUCCCCCAGAAAUGAACCAAGGUGUUAAAAUUGUGGAUGAAUCUCAUCAGUGGAGUGAUGCAGGGAUGGAAGUGUUACUGGACCAGACCGAUUUCUUUGUGGUCGGUGUUCUCGGACUACAGGGAUCUGGAAAGUCAACCAUUUUGUCUCUCCUUGCUGGAAAUAAUCCAUCAGACAACAUCAGGUAAACAGAAUUGUGUAUGGUAAAUACUUUUUAGUUGAAAAUGAGAAAAUGUUUUAAUUUACAAUAUUUAUCCAAAUUUAUUGUAUGGUAAAUUUGAAAAUUGCACUGCUAACUCCAGUUUAACAAAAGUUUUUAAAAAAAACAUUCUUGCCAUCUAUAUUUUUCCCUACUUGCCAUCUGUAGAAUUUUGCUGGCUAACAUGGGACAAACCGGUAUUUUAUCCUUGCCUUACAGGGCCUCACUCCAGUUUCAAGUCUUAAAAACAAAUGAAUAUGCUUCCGGUGUCAUAUAAUAUUUUGAUACUGUGAAAUAUUAUAGUUAGGUUUAAAUCAUUCAUCAACAUUUAUGUUGCUCUAUGAAUAAUUUAUUGAUAGGCAGUACAUAUUUCCACCCCAGAGCAAAGAGAGCAAGGAGCUCUCUGAACACCAGACCACCGGGAUUAACAUGUAUGUCACCGGGGAGAGAACCAUAUUUCUGGAUACACAGCCCAUCAUGAGCCCCUCUGUUCUAGACAAAAUAAUCCGCCAAGAGAAAAAGAUUCCCCCUGAAUAUAGCACAGCUGAAAAUUGUGUUGAGAUGCAGUCCUUGCACCAAGCAGCCUUCCUCAUGUCAGUGUGUCACAUCAUUCUAGUGGUUCAAGACUGGUUCACAGAUAUCAACCUCAUCAGAUUUCUGCAGACAGCUGAGAUGCUGAAACCUUCCACUCCUUCCUCUAGCCAUGAUAGUUCAUCAGGAUCGGAAGAGACCAAUGACUAUUAUCCAAGAGUGGUUUUUGUGCAGAAUAAAUGCACCAGAGACCACUUCAGCAGAGAAACACAUAAGGCCAUGCUUUCCACUUUCUCAAAAAUGUUGGAUACAUCUAAAUUAAAACUCAAAGGAGAAGUAUCAAUGGCCAGGGGAAACUUGGUGUCAGGGUUACCAAAGCAUCACCAAUCAGAUGUCAACUUGUAUUUGUUUCCAAAUAUGGAAAACAAGAAAGACUCACAAGACACCAUUCUGACCCUGCUGCCAGAGUACAGGGGAUACCCCAGCGUGACUACACUGGUGAAUGGCCUGAGGAAACAAGUGUACUCCAUGCCCAAAGACACUCUGACCCACACGACACUCUCAGAGAAAAACUGGUUUCAUUAUGCAGCCAGAACCUGGGAGGCUGUAAAAAAAUCACAGUUAAUGGCCGAAUACAACAGACUACUACACUGAGCAAAGGGAAGAUUACAACGGAAUUUCACAUUUAUGAUAAUCAACAGAUUACCGUAUAUUGGUGGUAUCCAACAGCCAAUUACUGUCAAACAAGUUGAUUGAGUACUCGGGAUAACUUUCCAAUGUCCAGCAGAGUGAAUUAUAGAAUACAACAGAAUAAAACUCUUGAGUGUAUUGUGCAGUUGCAUCUGACUAUUGAUGGAAUGGAACAACACCAUGUCAGUGUUGAAAUACAACAGACUGCUACAUAAAUCCAAUACAUGUAUAUAAAGUUACAGUAUUUGAUAGCAUUGCCAUGCACAGUACAAUAAACAAUUAGCUAUAAAUGGUGAAAAAAACAGCAAAGUAAUGAUGGAGGAUGGUGGACAACAUGGUAUUAAAGUUAGUGAUGGAAUGCAGCAGAGCUUGGGACUUGCCUGAAACUCUAAGAUGACAAUUUCGGUAAAAACUGGACCAAUCCAAAAGCAUCUUAGAAGAAAGAAACUUGUUGUAAAACUUGUGGAUUUACUUUUGUUGUGUGAUUAUUGUACAAUAUUAAAUGUGCAAUAUUU